GACGAACGCUGGCGGCGUGCUUAACACAUGCAAGUCGAGCGGUAAGGCCCUUUCGGGGGUACACGAGCGGCGAACGGGUGAGUAACACGUGGGUGACCUGCCCUCAGCUCUGGGGAUAAGCCCUGGGAAACCGGGUCUAAUACUGGAUAUGACUCCAUGACGCAUGUUGUGGGGUGGAAAGCCUUGUGCGGCUGAGGAUGGGCCCGCGGCCUAUCAGCUUGUUGGUGGGGGUGAUGGCCUACCAAGGCGACGACGGGUAGCCGGCCUGAGAGGGCACCGGCCACACUGGGACUGAGACACGGCCCAGACUCCUACGGGAGGGCAGCAGUGGGGAAUCUUGCGCAAUGGGCGAAAGCCUGACGCAGCGACGCCGCGUGAGGGAUGACGGCCU
rnacentral:rRNA from 1 species